rnacentral:rRNA from 1 species
CCUACGGGUGGCUGCAGUGGGGAAUAUUGGACAAUGGGGGGAACCCUGAUCCAGCCAUGCCGCGUGUGUGAAGAAGGCCCUCGGGUUGUAAAGCACUUUCAGUGAGGAAGAACGCCUGGUGGUUAAUACCCAUCAGGAAAGACAUCACUCACAGAAGAAGCACCGGCUAACUCCGUGCCAACAGCCGCGGUAAUACGGAGGGUGCGAGCGUUAAUCGGAAUUACUGGGCGUAAAGCGCGCGUAGGUGGCUUGAUAAGCCGGUUGUGAAAGCCCCGGGCUCAACCUGGGAACGGCAUCCGGAACUGUCAAGCUAGAGUGCAGGAGAGGAAGGUAGAAUUCCCGGUGUAGCGGUGAAAUGCGUAGAGAUCGGGAGGAAUACCAGUGGCGAAGGCGGCCUUCUGGACUGACACUGACACUGAGGUGCGAAAGCGUGGGUAGCAAACAGGAUUAGAUACCCGUGUAGUC